UACGAAGGGGGCUAGCGUUGCUCGGAAUCACUGGGCGUAAAGCGCACGUAGGCGGAUUGUUAAGUCAGGGGUAAAAUCCUGGAGCUCAACUCCAGAACUGCCUUUGAUACUGGCGAUCUUGAGUCCGGGAGAGGUGAGUGGAACUGCGAGUGUAGAGGUGAAAUUCGUAGAUAUUCGCAAGAACACCAGUGGCGAAGGCGGCUCACUGGCCCGGUACUGACGCUGAGGUGCGAAAAGCGUGGGGAGCGAACAGG
rnacentral:rRNA from 1 species